ACACAUCCCUUAUUCUGUCAUGAUCCCCAUGAUCAAGCAGGUGGUUCACCCAGGGCGAGGUUUGACCACUGCACUCGGGUUGUGCUGACCCCUGCGAAUUCCCCAAGUGUGGGAAUCUCGACUGCAUAAUUUCUGGUAGUGGGGGACUGCAUUCGCGCUCUCCCCUG